rnacentral:lncRNA from 1 species
GAGUACUGAGGUAGCAUUGAACCACUCUAGGACCUGAGCUGGGCCUACCGAAAUUGUCUGGGCCGGAACCUCAUCUUCAAACUCUACCUGAGGCUCCGCCACUAGUACUGUUGCUCUAGGCUGAGCAUUGCCCCUGCCUCAGCCCCUAGCAUAGCCUCGUCCUCGUCCUCUAACCCUUGUGGGAACUGCUGUUGGGGGCUCGAGAUGCUGGUUAGUAGAUGAAGAAGCGCGUGUUCUUGCCAUCUGCGAAAAAACAGAGUAGAAAAUCAAUUAACAUUGAGAUACCAAACUGCACGAUAGAGAUGAAUAUAAGUGAAACUGUUCCUAACUUUGCAGCCUCUGGGGGGAUAAGCACAGACGUCUCUGUACCGAUCCCUCAGACUCUACCAAGCUUGUCCAUGAAUUGUGAGACCUAAGCAACCUAGAGCAUUGAUACCAAUUUGUCACGACCCGGAUUUCCCACCCUUGAGAGUCGUGAUGGCGCCUACUCGUGAAAGCUAGGCAAGCUGAGUAUUAUAGAUUCAUUAGCCCCUUUUACUUAACCUUUUUAACAAUUUUAAACAACAUGAAAUCAACAGUGGAAUAAUAAUAAUUAAAGACAUACGGAAGAAGAAAUCUGAUAACUUAGCCAAAUACAAAUACGAAAAAUACAAAGUACAUCUCUACCAAGAACUGGUGUUACAAUAUCAUGAACCAUCUACGAAUACUACAAAUAGUUGUCUGGAAAGAAAGAUACAAUCUGUCUCUGAUGUAAAUGAAAACAGAAUAUAAAGAUAGAAGGGGAUUCUAGGGCCUGCAGACGUCUGCAGGACUACCUCGGGUCUCCUGAUGGACUAAAGGCAGCAACCUCUCUCUACGGUCCAAAUGCUCUAGCACCGGGAUCUGCACACAAUGCAGAGUGUAAUAUCAGCACAACCGACCCCAUGUGCUGGUAAGUGUCGUGCCUAACCUUGGCGAAGUAGUGACAAGGCUAAGACAAGACUACCAAAUAAACCUGCACAGUUUAAAGCAUAAAUGACAAGUAAUAAUAACAGAAACUAGCAAUUAAAGAUGGGAGGGAGAAACAUGUUGCGGGGAAAUAUCCAGUACCAAUAGUAACUUAGGAGAAAACAUAAAGAACAUCUUAAAGUCAGCAUUAGUAAGAAUAAGGAAAUAGUAACAAUUAAUAUCCACUUUCAUUCUUUAUUGUUGCGGCGCGCAGCCCGAACCAAAUAAUAUAAAUCUGUUGCGGCAUGCAACCCGAUCCAAAUCAUAUAUCACUGUUGCGACGUGCAACCCGACCCCUCCUAUCCUCCCUUAUUACUCCAUGUUGAGGCGUGAAACCCGAUCCCAUAUAAUGUUGUUGCAGCGUGCAACCCGAUCCCAAUAUAAAAUUCAACACCAAUUACAAAAGAAUCCUGACAAGGGAACAAUUAGCAAACAACACUAUCCCGGCAAGGGAACCAACAAUAAGAAUAAACACAUCCCGGCAAGGGAGCCAAAAGUAAGAAUUAAAUACGUCCCGACAAGAGAAUCAGCUAUAACCAAACUUGUACCAACAUUUAACUUGACAAAUGAAACCUCAACUAGAACCAAUACUCAACAAUAAGCAAAUACCACGAGAACAGUCAUGAUUCUUGCCCAACACGGGGAGUUAACAACUUAGGCAUUUGUUGUACUUAUUAAGAUCACAACGAUUAUAAUUUAGGACUCACGGGCAUGUUUGACAAUGACGUAUAGAUACUCGUCACCACACCUAUACAUCGUACACUACACUAGCACAUAGCAAAUAAAGCACAAUACUUAUUUCCUCAAGCUAAGGUUAGACCAAACACUUAUCUCAAUGUCACGAACACAAUUCAAGCCUCAACUACGGCUUUACCUCUUGAUUCCACCACCAAUUCGCUUGUAUCUAGCCAUAAUUUACUUAACGAUAUCAAUAAAUGCUAAAUAAAUCAAUUCUAAUGCAUGGAAAUAGGUUUUCUAAAGAUUUUCCCAAAAAGUCAAAAAUCGACCAUGAGCCCACAUGGUCAAAACCUGAUGUUCGAACCAAAAACCGAUUACUCAUUCACCCAAGAACUCAAAUAUAUAAUUUGUUUUGAAAUUGGACCCCAAAUUGAGGUCCAAAUCCCCAAAAUUUAAAAAUCCUAGUUCUACGCAAAACACCCAAUUUCCCCCAUGAAAACCCUUGUUUUUGAUUUGAAAUCAGGUGGAAAGAUGCUAUAUAUUAAAGAAAAUGAGUUAGAAAUGACUUACAAUCGAUUUGGAGAAGAACUUUUCUUUAGAAAAUCGCCCAAGAGAGCUUAGGGUUUGAGGGAGUUUGAAAAAUGAAGAAUUUUCGGCAAAGUUAUUGUAGACAUGUGAUUUUUGACCAUCCCCAAGAUUUUUUAUAUUUUAGCAUGUAAAUAUUUAAUUUAGGCCUAAUAUCGCUAUUUCAACUAACUUUGACUCUUUUACUUUAUUUUUAUUACAAGAAAAUGAAAAUUAUAAAAAAUAGUUUCAUUAAUGUUUUAUAGUCAUUUUUAAUCUUGAAAAAUACCAAAAAUAAUUUUGUUUUAACGGUCAGUCUUAUUUUAAUAGUUAUUUUACUUAAGUAGGAUUAAUUAAUAAAUGAGAUCAUAUUUUUAGUCUCGUUCGUGGGAAAAAAUUAAAAUUUGGGCUCAAACGACCCAUUUUUAGGCCUAAUUUUCGGAUCUAGCUCAUAAUUCCUAGGCCCAUACCCCUUAACCUAAAAAAACCCUACAAAAACCUAGACCUAGACACUCUACAAUCAGUCAUUUGGACUGAAGACCUAAUGAGUAACGCCUAAAACCUUCACAAAAAAGAUACAUCAGCUGUUUUUUCAUAGAAUAGGACCCUCCCCCCACAGAUAUGUCUCCUUCUGAAAACAAAGCAACCAUUUUCAUGGCUUUUGGCUAAACAAAAACAAAGCAGCCAUCUCACAAACAACCACCCUCAACUUUCCAUUUUCUACCCAAAAACCAUCCCCGAGCUUCGUCUUCUCAGCGCCUAAAGACACAACUAACCUCUUUUAUCUUCUCCACACCCAAGAACACCAAACGACUCACCCCUCCACAUAGAUGUAGAUAGAGAACGGGCAGAGAGAGUGACGAUCAGGGAGGAGGACAGAUGAGAAACAGAGGCUUACUGACGGUCUUUCAUCAAACGAAAAUCAAUCGCACCUCCUUCUUCUUCAAGAGAAAUUUUCUCUUUAGAUUUCUGUCACACCUCCUUUUUUACUACACCCCCGGAAGGGUAUAUAAGGGAGUUUUUUCCAACUUAAAGUGACAAUCGAAACGGGAUUAUUUUAUUAAAAAAAAAAUCAGAGUCGCCACUUGGGAUAAUUUAUGGUGUCCCAAGUCAUCGGUUCAAAUCUAGAAUCGAGGAAAGAUUGACUCUGUAUUACAGUCCGCGAACACAGAAAUUCGGGUAAGGCAUUCUGUUAACCCGGGAGAAGGUGUUAGGCAUUCCCGAGUUCUGUGGUUCUAGCACGGUCGCUCAACUGUUAUUAUUGGCCAAAUUAUCUGAUUUUAAAAUACUUUUAAACCUAUGUGCAUUUUAGCUUUAAAUCGUUUUUAAUUAUUUUCAGAAAGAUUUCAACGUCAUCUAAAACAUGUCUUUGGACCACGCCACAUGAAAUGCACCCGAAAUCCGAGACACAUUUUAUUUAACGUUGUUAAGAUUUAGAUUUGGGUCACAUGAAAUGCACACCCGAGUUUAAAAAGGUAAUUUUUAAGAUAGCUCGCCUAAAGCAACUACGCUCUUUCAAGUUUGCGAGGGCCAUAGAAAAUUCAAAUAAUGGCACACCUCGAUUUCUAGAGGAUUAAAAUUAGUUGAGUGAGGGCCAUACAUUAUGGGAUUCAUAUGUGAAUGGCAUGCCUCACUUUAUUUUAAAAAGAUUCGUACUCAACUAAAGCGAAUUACGGAUGUUCAUAAGUGACCAUCCAACUUGUUUAGAAUCGAUUCACACAUGUAGAAAUUUAUAGAUCUAAUUUUGAAAGCAUCAAUAACAAACGGGAGGCUGCCAAGGAUAUUAUGGCCGAUCAUAUAGAGACAAAUAGCCAAACCUUUUAAUGCAAUUACGCAGUAGCACCAGACAAAAAAAAGCUGCAACAUAUAUAAAGUAAAAUCUUUAUCUAAAGGUAAUUGGGCAUUGUAUUAAAGUGAAAUUUAUACAUAUGGCUAAUUAUUUAGGAUCAAUCAACAUAUGCUAGCAGUAGUCAUCUCUAUUGCAAAGGAAGAAGAUUCAAAAGGAAGCAAUUGUAGGAGACCGUAUCACAGUAAUAGCAAAAUAGAAACAUGUGCUCUUAACCAACGCACCAUCAAGGGCGGAGCUUUAUAUUUUCGAAAACUUGACUUCACAACACGACCGGAAUAAGAACCUCAAACGAAGACCGGAAACAACAAAUUGAGAACAAAUUUCAGCUCAAUACUUCAGAAAUCAAGCUAAGCACGCUAAUCAAAUUCAUUAAAAUCAAUUAACUCAAAUGAUCUAGUCCAAGUUCAUCUAUAACUCAAACUUUUCAAAAUUUUCAGCACAUAUGCACCUUCAGCACAUCACAUCCACUCUAUUGAACACAACCAAACAUGCUUCGCAAAUUCGAAACAUCUGUAAUUCCCCACCAGAAUUUGACGACAGUGAUAUAAGUUAAACAGGUUUGAAUCUUCUAACUUACAAAUUACUUAGAAAAGGAUUCAAUCAUAUAAAGAUAACAAAUGUAUCGAAAUUUCAUGGAGAGGAACAAAAGACACGUUUCGUAUUAUGUCCAAGUAAAACUUGAAUUCAUAGUUGAAUACCUGGUUGGGCAAGAAACGAUUGAAAGAGCCAAAAAAAAAACACAACAAAUAGGGCUGAAGUUCGGCAAAUACGAGCAGAAAUUAGAAUGGAACCUCGAGCAACAGCUGGGAACUCGACUCGGCACCACGAAUGUUGAAUCGAACAUGAACUCAAACCCAAAUAUCAGUCAAAUUCCAUUUUUUGCGACAAAUAAACCCAGCCAAAAAUCCUCUACCUCCGUCUUGAUUUUCUAUCUGUUCUCUCUGCUGUGUGUGUGUGCUUAGCGACUGAAAUCCAUGAAAAAGAUGAAGUUUCUCUGGGGGCGGGGGGGACGGUUUUGGCUGACGAAGGUGAUGAAGAAGAAGACGGCUUAGGGGUGCUGUAUGGGGUGCCAGCGUUCAGGGGUUUUCACUUCAGAGGAAGCCAUGAAAUUUUUUGCUGUUUCUUCUAUGAAGACCGUCGAUCAGGGGGUGGGUAUCCUGUGUAUUUUUGUUGAGAAGAUGAAGUUACAGGGGAAUAGGGUCUUAUUUUGUCCUUUGCGGCAGAUUUCUAAAGAGGUCCCUCUUAUUUUAGUGUAUUUCCGUCUCUUUAAAUAGGUAGCAGAAAUGAAUUACCUAUUCACAAAUACCCCUUCCCCAAUUUUUUAUUUAACUCCACUCAAAUACUUUUCUUUGCUCUAUUCAGUAAUGCACUCCCAACCUCACCACUCUAGAAGCUUUCUAAUUAGUUAGGUAAGACUCCCCAAUUUAAACAAUCCCUAGACUACCCUUAAAACCUCAUGUUAAUUACUUCAAAAACCAAAUGGGUCAAAUUGACCCAAGAUUCAACCUAGAAAAUUAGAUUAAUUACUCAAAAUAAUAAUUAUCCCAACUAAUUAAAUACCAAAUUAAAAGAAAAUUGUCAAAAUUCAAAAAUUAAAGAGUAAAAUGCAACAUGACUAUUUUUUAUGAUGUUUUUCUAUUUUGUCAAACAACAACUUACUUAAUUAAUCUAAAAAUGUAAAAUAAAAUCCUAAAUGCAGAUACAAUAUAUUAUUUUAUAUUUUUAUGAUUUGAAAUAAAUGCCAAAGAUAAUCCUAAUUAAUUAAACUAAAUAUGAAACUAUUUUUGUGUUUUCAAAAUUAUAUAAAGAUAAAAAUAAGGUACUAUUUUUUGUAUUAUUUUUUUAAAAAAGAAUUUAUGAAAAAUACAUAAACUAAAAUAUUUUUUAUAAUUUUUCUUUUUCUUGUAAUAAAAUAAAGUAAAAGAGUCAAAAUGCGUUGAAAUAUCUAUAUUAGGCCUAAAUUAAAUAUUUACAUGCUAAAAUAUAAAAAUAUUGGGGAGGGAGGGUCAAAAAUCACAUGUCUACAAUUUUCAUUAAAACUCAAGUCUCAACAUUAAACUACAAGACAACUCUUUAAACACCUCAAAACAAGCCCUAAAACAACCAUGAGAAUCCAUGGCACGAACCCCUUUCCCUUCGAGUUCCGGUUGCAAUCGAGCAGCGAGGUUCAAUCCGUCGAGGUCGCCGGUUCAAAGUUCAGUCAAUAGCUCGCUGUGGUCGAUUCGAUUUGGAUUUUUACAUUUGGAGAAUGCUGAGCAAAGGUCCAUUCUAAUAUUUAUCAUCUUUUUGUGUACUUGCGUGAAUAAACCCACACUAUCCUUAAUAAAUAUUGUUCAGUUUAAAUUGUGGUUUCCAAGUUAUAUUAUCAUGUGAAUAUUUUCAUGUUAUCCUUGUUAGUAAUAUUUUUCUCUUUCUUUUGUCUAGCUUGAUUCAUUUAUUAUGGCCAUGUUCACAAUUUUGUGCUAAUCUGGUGGGUACAUAUUUGUGGCGAGGUUAUUAGUUUAUUUGUGCUUCAAAUUUUACAUGAUUCAUUAAGCUUGUUUUUAUUUGUAUUAUUGCUUGUGUUUCAUAUUUUUGUUAUCUUAAAUUUAUAAUGUUAGAUUUAUCAAAGGACAGAAAGAUUUAGGGGUUGGAUAUAAAAGAAAAAUCAGAAUGUUAAACUAGUCAAAUAAUUCCAUAACUUCAAUCACCUUUCUUGAGUAACGAACUGUGUGGUUAUUCCAACAAAUGAUUUCCAUAAUUUUGGACCUUCACAUGUAAUCUUAAAUUGUAGUAAGUAAUUUAAGUCAUGGACAUUCGUCGUUUACUUUAGGCACGUUUAAUAUACUAUCGUAAUUGCGUACACGUUCGCGUGACAUAAUUAUGAUUUUAAAACCAAAUCGGAGUAUGCGUGCGCGCAACUUCGACCGAAAUUUCUUAAUAAUAAUAAGCCGUUAUUAAUUGUGGACACGUUCGCGUGACAUGAUUUUUGACACGCCAAACGGAAUGGGUACACGUACGCGUGACCUGUUUUAAGAUAACUUUUCUUAAUUAAAAGGGCAAAUGCACAUAGGUUCUAAAAUCGGUGAUCAAACAAUUUGAUUAAGCCAAGUAUGAUCAAAACGACCGUGCUAGAACCACGGAACUCGCGAAUGCCUAACACCUUCUCCCGGGUUAACAUAAUUUCUUAUCUGGAUUUCUUUGUUCGCCGACCGUAAAUAGAGUCAACUUCCUCGAUUCGGGAUUUUAAACCGGUGAAUCUGAAUUAUCCCAAGUGGUGACUCUGAAUUUUGAAUAAAUAAUCUCGUUUCGAUUGUCACUUAAAUUGAAAAAAACUCACUUAUAUACCCUUUCGGGGUAGUAAAAAGGAGGUGUGACAGCUCUGGCGACUCUACUGGGGAGAAAAACCCAAAACUUCUGGUUCAGGGUUCAAGAAUCCGAGCUUGUUUUUACAAUUUUUUACUUGGCUUUCUUUAUUGUUUCUAUUAUCGUAUUUGUGGACCUAAUGUGCUAAAUGUUGUUUAUUUACCGCUUUGUAUUAUUUGAAUUGUAUUAAACUGUCUUCUUACACCACCCCUCUGAGUCUUCUGAAAAUGGUGCACACGUUCGUGUGGCCUUCUUUUUCUGUAGAAGUUAUACCGAAUAAGAACAGGGUUGGGCCAGUAACAAGGCCGGGUAGACUUCAGUGCUCCCAGUACGUUGCCCCAUCUUCGGUUCGAGUUGUCCGCUCGGGUAAGCCAGGUCAAGAACACAACCCCAGGCUUUAAACUUAGAACAACAUAACCUCAUGUCGGAUCACUAGUAGGAACAUUUGCUUGCAUCACGUGGAUUUGACUUAGGGGACUCAACGCAGGGGUUGGGUACGUCUAGGAUAGGUGUACCCAAAAAUAAAAGACCAUCAUGAUGCAUCCUAUGUGCUACAUGUUACAUUUCUUCAAGGGUAAAAGGAUCAUUUGACGGACCAAUGAUGACUAAGGGUAAAUGAGAAAAAAAAAGGUGAAGUGUGAAAAUAAAGCAAGUAGGGCCCAGUUAUGUUUUCUUUCACAUUUUUGUUAAGAAAAAUACAAAAAACAAAUAUGACAAAUUCAAAAAAGAUUUUGCACUUUUUCAUCAUUUUUCGAAAAUCAAAAAAUCAAAAAAAAAGAGGAAAAGAAAAUCCAAAAAGAGUUUACAGUUUCAUCAUUUUUCAAAAAAAAUUUUUUCUCUAAAUUAGUUUAUUUAUUUAUUCUCACCCGUAUCCAAUCUGCCCAAACUACGCAUACCUGAUUCUCGUCUUUCGGGGCGUAAUAUGUAGACAACCCACAUAUGGUCUUGUCUUCCUAGUGAGUGUUUUUGGCUUCGCGGGGUCUUAGCUAAAUCUUGCAUUUUUAGUCACUUUUAGCCACAUAGGUUAAUUUUAGAAAAGUAGUCACAAUCAUGUCUUGCAUGCGUCCAACAGGAAGAGUUAUUGUCUCAUAUAGCGUUCUAGGUCUUUAACUUUAUUUGGUCUUAAUUUUCUCAUACAGGUGUGGACUUACUUACCGGAGUUUGAGCAAGACAGACCCCCAGGACCAUCUGGUCAGGACCGUUGCACCCGGGAGUUGCUUAAGGAAAUUUUUAUUUUUAUUUUUUUAUGUUUUGAGUCUGUUUUUCUUUUUAUGUCGUCUUUUACCUUCUAGUUUUGUACAGUAAUGUCGAUUUUUUUAUUAUUGUACUUUCUGUUUUGUAUUUGAAAAAGUGUGUAAUAAAUCAAAAAUCCAAAAAAAAGAAAUUUUGCGUUUUUAUAUUUCUGUUAGAUGUUUUCUUUAGAAUACUAAUUCUAGGAAUAAAAAAAAUCAUUUGAGGUGGUUUUCCUUAGGAAAUUAAUAUCUAGACGUCAAAAUAAAAAUUGCUUUUAUAUUUUCUUUUAGUACAUUAAGACUAAAAAUACAAAAAAAAGAGAAUUUUCUUUUAGCACCGGUUUAAAAGUUUUCUUUUAAGAUAUUAAUUUCAAAAAUCCAAAAAGAUUUUCUUUUGAGGUUCUUCUUUGGGAAAUUAAUGAAAAAAUAAAUUAAAAAAAUAUUUUGUUUUAUUUUCACUAGAACUUUAGGAUAUUGUACAUAGAAUAAGAAAAAAACAUACUUUAUAUGUUGUUUAUCUUUAAAGUUUCUUCCUUAGGUAAUCAAAAACUGAAAUUAAAAAAUAUUUUUUUUAUCUUGUUCAUUUCUCGUUUCGAAAUCUUUUUCAGGGAUAUCGAAUAAAAAUUCAAAAUAUUUUCUUUGGUUUAUUCCUUAGAUUUCCUUCCUAAAAAAACAAUCAAAAAAAGAUUUUUCUCUUCUAGGGUUUUUUCCUUAAUUAUUUUCCAUAGAAUGUUUGUUUAAAAAAGAAAAAAAGAGAAAAAAUAUAUGCUCGUUAAGCUUGAGUUUAAAAUAUGUUAUAGAACAUUAAGUCUAGAAUACUCAAAAAAAAAAGGAUUUGCUUCUUUUAUUUCUCUUUUCUCAUUAAGAAAAGAGAACGUUAGUUUGUUUACUUUAUUCCCGAUCUUCUCAAACUACGCAAAGAUCUUAUUUAUGCGGCGACAUGAUACGUAAGCAACCUAAAUAGGGUUUGAUCGAAUCAUUUUUUUCAAAAAAGGUGAAAUUAUGGGAUGUGAAAAAUGAGAGAAAAGAAAAGAGUGAUAAUUAUCAAAAAAAAAAAAAGAGGAAGGAAAAUGAGCCAAUAAGUGCUAGAAAAGAAAGAAAAGAGAAGAUUGAAAUGAACAAAAUUGGGAUGAUGCCAAGUGACCUUGUGACCCUAAAAGUCAUUCUAGAACCGUUAAUUGUUGCUAGGUACAUUGCACGCAAUGUUAUAUUUUUAGCUGUUAAAUGCNNNNNNNNNNNNCUAGCAAAGACUUGGACGCAAAGGUUAUUGAUCCGUCUAAGGGAAUUGUUGAAUAAGAAUCUAAGUUGAAAGAAGAGGUCUUGAGGUUGAAAGGACAGAUGGCCGAAAUAUAUCAAGCCUGGAUUAGUGGGCAUCGUCCACCAUCAGUUCCCACUAACUACACUGAAAGCCUUGUCACCAUUCCGCCACUAUCACAAAUCCAGGAUAUCUCGCCGCAACCUUUUCAUACUCUACCCCUAGAACCACCUUACAUCCCGCUCCUUUGACCACUCAUGUUUUUGUAACCCCUCCACCUGCUACCUUUCCUCGAUCCUCUAGCGAGACUGUGUUCAAAAUCCCCGAUGCCCAAUGUCACACCUCCUUUUUAUCGGGAAGAUAGGAAAGAAAGGAGUUUUUCCAAUUUAAGUGACAUUAUUCGAAAUGAGAUUAUUUUAUUUAUUAGAGUCGCCACUUGGAAUAGUUUAUUUGGUAUCCCAAGUCACCGGUUUAUUUUAAAAUCCCAAAUCGAGGAAAAUUUUAUUUUUUAAAGUCUGCGAACCAGAAAUUUUAGAUAAGGAAUUCUGUUAACCCGGGAGAAGGUGUUAGGCAUUCCCGGGUUCCGUGGCUCUAGCAUGGUCGCUUAGUGAUUAUUACUUGGCUUAAAUUGUUUAACAACUCAUCUUUAGGACCUAUGUGAAAUUAUCUUUUUAAUGCUUUUAAUCACUUGAUUCGUUCGUAAUUAAAGAAUUGAGUUAUGCGUACAUACACUCUUUUCCUUUGGCGCGUUAAAAUCAUGUCACGCGAAUGUGUCCACAAUUAAUAAUGCUUUGUUUAUUUUUAAGAAAAGUUUGGUUGAAGUUGCGCGAACGCAUCCCUCGAGUUACUUUUAGAAUUAAAUUCGCAAUUAAGUUACACGAACGUAUACAUAAUCACAAUACUAGUCUAAAUCGAGCCUAAAGCAAACUACGAUAAUUCAAUUUUUAAAAGCAACAUUUGUGAGGGCCAUGGAUAAUUUAAUUUAUUUAUGGAACACCUCAAACCUUUUCAAUAAGUGUUAGUUCUUAAUCUAAUCUUACGAGGGCCAUGAAUUAUAAAUUUUGUUUGGCAUGACACACCUCACUUAUUUUAACAAAAGGGAGUUGCUUUUUAUUUUAACAAUUCAUCACGCUUUAUUAAAUAUUAAGAAAGUUUGGUCGAAGUUGCGCGAACGCAUACCUCGAUUUUGUUAUUAGGAUCGUAAUCAUGUCAAGCGAACGUGUGCACAAUUACGAUGAUAGAUUAAGUCGCAUCUAAAGCAAGCUACGACUGCUCAUGGUUAUUAAGUCUAAUUUGAGAUUAUUCCCAUGAAACGUUCAUAUAGGCACCUCAAUAUAAAAGGAGUCACGCAAUUUUACUACAUGUUAAUGUCAUAGGCAAAAGCAAAACAGUGCAAGUGUCGACACACUGCAAACUGAAGCACACAUUUAAGUAAAGAAACACAUGAAUGAAGAAAACAUUAAAAAUACAUGGAAACUGAAAUUGAAAUAACUAUAACAUGCAAAUAGUAACAUUUGUUAUUUUUUUUUUUUUUUUUUUUUUUUUGAGUUUUCAUGGCCAAGGGGUUAACAAUUGAAAACGUAUACUAAAUAACUAUAGCUUAGCCUCAAACACCCAAUUUAUUUGCAAAGAAAAAUAUAUAUAUUUUUUAUAACUUACUACACUUAUAUAAAAAAAUAAUUAUUAUAGUUUAUGGCCUACUUAAUACUACCCUUAUCUAGUCCCACUCUAAACAGUUAUAAAAAUUAUCAAAAAGGCAUAAUAGAAGCACAAAUAAAUAAAUAAAUAAAUAAAUAAAUAAAUAAAAUUAAAAUGAACAAACACCCUAUGGAAAAGAACUGUACUCAACAAAGUUAUUUGCACCCCUAAAUAAAUAUGAACUAUUAACGUAAAAUUGACUUACCUUUUAACAAGUGGCCAUUCAUUAGAAGAUCAUUACACACACAAGACAAAAGUUUAUAUAUACUACUGGAUUCACAUAGAAGGAAUAUGACAACUUUUUUUUUUUAAAACGUAAAUGAAUUCGUAAAACUAGAAACAUGAUUUAAUUAAACCUUCAAAACAAAAUUUAGUUAGUAACAGAAUUCUUAUCAGAUUUGAACUUAAUUGUGAUUGACUAUCAUUUACCAUUUGAAAUGAAAAGUUUUUUUUUUUUACUGAACAAACUAAACCCAACUCACACGAAGAUUAGAACAUAGUACUUCCUGCUUCUUUCCACUAGAGAACAUUUUCAUAAUUAUUAACAUAUUCCUAAGACUAGACAAUUAACAAAAAACGAAUUAUUCAAUGUCUCAAUUUUAUGAAAACAGAAGCGUCAUCCUUGAUUCUUAGUCAAUUAAUGAUCUUUUGAAGAAAAAAGUCACAAACGAAUAGAAACAUAAUAAAAUAUGGUGAUAAAAGGUACCGUCGAUUUAAGCGGACUAACUGAGAUAAAAUAAUUACAUAUCCAAAAUAUUAUAUCCAAAGUCUUGACCAAAGACAUGAUAUCAAGGUAUUGACAUUUCAAGUAUAACUUAAGACAACCAACAUAAAAUUAAAACAUCUUUAACAUACUAUUCAAACUUUAAUUAAAAAGAUCAAAGUAGGACUUAAAGUACAUAAACGAACCUUAAAUUUCCUUGUGAAUAUCCGCAGAAAACGUACUAUACCAACUCCGAACAACGAACGAAACUUCAAAACUCAACCAAAUAAUUCUUUUGAAUCUUGCCUUGGUUACUGCCUUUUCUUUUUCUUUCUUCUUCUUUCAACGUUAACUUUUUUUUUUGUUUCCAAAAAUCCCCCCUUUCUUUGCUGAAGAGAGUGAUAUUUAAAUAGCGAAGUUUGCUGGAUGGUUUCCCCAUCUCCCCAUGAAAAUCGAUAGCAGAAGAGGGGAUCGUGGGAUUUGUUCUGAGUUGUUUCAAUUUUGAAAAUAAACAAGUGAGUGUGUGCAAAUUGUGAAGAGUGGGUAACAUGGGGUAAUUGUGAGAGGAGACGUGGGGGGUGGGGGAAGUUAGAGUUGGGGUUGUUAGCAAGUCACGUUAUCUCAAAUCAGAUAUUUGAGAUAAAGUUUGUGAUACCAAAC